rnacentral:tRNA from 1 species
GAGGGUAUAGCUCAGUGGUAAAGCACAUGCUUACCAUGCACAAGGGCCUGGCUUCAAUCCCCAGUACCUCCA